GCCCCUCCCCCUACUCACACUGUCUCUCUCUCAGGGUCUCAAAAGUAAAUAAAAAAAAAAAUCCACCUAAUUCAGUAUGUCCCAAAUGAACUGAAGCACAAAAUAUAAUGUAUAUAUAUUUACAUAUACAUUAUAAAUAAUUUUUAAAUGGUCAUUCAUUAAGACCAUCUAUUUUCAAAUAUAUAAAAUUGGUGUUAAAUUGGCAAAUUAUUUCCUGGUUUUAUAUCAUACUACAUUUUGGUUCCCUAAAUGAUUCCCACCUUUUCAUGGUCUCUUCCAUCUUCUUUUAAAUCUAAAACUUUCUUAAGUAUAUUGUAAUAGUUCCCAUUUGAAUACAGCCAGCCAAGGCUACAAUGGGAAGUGGGCAAACAGAGCUAUUUAUAUGUAUGUCUUUUGUUUUUAAACAUUUACAGCAGGAAGUAAUUCUUUCUGAAUUCUCUCAUUCAUAUCUCUGGCAAGAGAUAGCUAAUCUGUAUGUAUUACAUGAGGGAAGGUACUCAACCUGAUUCUUCACUGUGUGCCUCAGAGGAAUGAGCACAGACCCGUAAACAUCACAGCAAUCUGAAAUGCCUCUAAUACAUUAAAAAAAAAAAAAAACUACCACCAUUACUUCUAACACAAAUUUUUCUUACUUUUGCCUUUGUUUUUUUCCUAUGCUAAAAUGUGAAGAGAUACAGUAGAAAAUGGAAUUAGAGGAGUAGCCAUUUACACAGAAUUUUCAUUUCUUUCAUGUUUUACCUUUGGGCCCAAGAGGAAAAGGACCCAGUUGCUACAUCUCUUAGGGAUGCUGAAGGUGUGCUGGGCUUUGUGCCUCACCCACUGAGAUCACGCCAACAGAAGUUUCAGCAGGAGUCAAACACACUGUAUGCUUUGCUGACUGAAUUACUUGUGAAACAGUGAAGAAGUGAAUACAGCAAUCAUUUGGAGUUUCAAGCCCAACACUUACAUGUACCCUGCACCAGCUCUGUUUCCUCUUUCACAAAACAGGUGUACUACUUACCUCAUAUAGCUGUGAGAAUUGAGUGAGAUGUGAUACCCAUAAAAAACAUGUACAAUGCCUGGCAUAUAGAUAAGGAUUUAAUAAAUGAUAAUUUCUUAUCACUCCUAUAAGUUUCUUGAGGGGGGAGGGCUAUCUUAAUGCAUCUUUAUAUCUUCUGUAAUUCCCAAUAUAGACUUUUAAUACACUAGGCAUGCAAGUAUUUCCUUUAUAUAUUAAAGUUAAAAACAACCCACAGACCUCACAGGGAUAUUGGCCAUUCAAGCACAAACUUAUACUAAUGGCAUAUAAAUAUCACACCCUGACUUAAAAUGAAUAUUCCACUUGGUAAGAAGUUCUAAGACAUGAAAAUGUAAGUUUCUAACUUGGUUGAUUUUUCUCAUCAUGUCCUUUAAAAAAAAACCUAAAACGAAGUAUUUGUAUAAACUGCGUAAACCAUGACAAAUCCACACGUUCUACACAUUUAAGAGAUGAAUCUUUUAAAACUCUUUCCAGGAAACUUUGAAUUGAAAAAAAAAUCACUUAAUCUCAAAUUCACCAAAUGCUAAAGCCUUACUCUUAAACAGUAGUCAUUUGAAGAGCAUUUAUUUAAAAAAAAAAAAAAAAACCCAGCGACUGUCUUACCACCUGUUGCACAUCAUCCACACUCUGGACCAAGGUACUGGGUCUCUCCAGUUGCUCUUUCCAUUUAUGGAAAUCUGCUCAAAGCUCUCAGUUCCAGAGAGGCAGCCAAACCUCUAAGUAAAUCUAUCUUUAGGUGACCCUGCUUACUCUUAUCUGCAGCUUCACUGAAGCAAAGGAUUCAAUCAAUCCUAGCUCAACUUUAAGAAACUUAGUAAGUAUAAAAUACAUUAUUACCAUUCUCAAGUAGUUUUUUCAAAGUGCUUUCCCCAACACUCACAUAUAUUGCUUUGGAAAGCAAAUUCUCAGGCUUUUAAAAUUUAUUCUAGGAAUUUCAUUCUCUUUAAAGUCUGCUUGUGUUGCAAUUUAGGUGUUGUCUGAGGUGCUAUUAAUAAACUAUCCUGGGUAAACUAA